UAUGGAGGAUCCGAGCGUUAUCCGGAUUUAUUGGGUUUAAAGGGUGCGUAGGCGGCUUUUUAAGUCAGAGGUGAAAUACGGCAGCUCAACUGUCGCAGUGCCUUUGAUACUGGAGAGCUUGAAUAUAGUUGAAGUGAGCAGAAUGUGACAAGUAGCGGUGAAAUGCAUAGAUAUGUCACAGAAUACCGAUUGCGAAGGCAGCCCACUAAGCUAUAAUUGACGCUGAGGCACGAAAGCGUGGGGAUCAAACAGG
rnacentral:rRNA from 1 species